rnacentral:rRNA from 1 species
AGAGUUGAUCCUGGCUAGGACGAACGCUGGCGGCGUGCUUAACACAUGCAAGUCGAACGAGGAUCAAGGAGAGCUUGCUUGAAUUGAUUCGAGUGGCGGACGGGUGAGUAACGCGUGAGCAACCUGUCUCACACAGGGGAAUAACGCAUCGAAAGAUGUGCUAAUACCGCAUAAGACCACGGGACCGCAUGGUACUGAGGUAAAAGGAGGAAUCCGGUGUGAGGUGGGCUCGCGUCUGAUUAGAUAGUUGGUGAGGUAACGGCCCACCAAGUCAACGAUCAGUAGCCGACCUGAGAGGGUGAUCGGCCACAUUGGGACUGAGACACGGCCCAGACUCCUACGGGAGGCAGCAGUGGGGAAUAUUGGGCAAUGGGCGGAAGCCUGACCCAGCAACGCCGCGUGAAGGAAGAAGGUUUUCGGAUCGUAAACUUCUGUCCUAUGAGAAGAUAGUGACGGUAUCAUAGGAGGAAGCCCCGGCUAACUACGUGCCAGCCGCUGC